UGUUGCCGUUGGCGUUGCAAUUUACAGUACAAUUACUAUUAAAAGUUGUUUUUUCUUAUUUUUUCAGUUUGUUUGAGUGGAUUUAUUCAGUUUAGCGGAUAUAUGUAUAUUUCAGAGAAAUCUGCAGUUCUGAGUAUGGCAGAUUUCGAUCCCUUUGAAGUGUCAUCUUGUGCUAUCUCGUGUCUCCUGGCUUUGUCGUCCCGUUUUAUCGAAUCUCCAGGACGUAUCUGGAGAUUCAGGGUCUAUCGAAACCCCGUCGCCAUCACUUGUUCUUCUGUGUAUUCCACCCGAUAAAGACAAGCCCAUGGAGGAGAUCCGCAUUAUACAGCUGUUCGGCGUCAAGGACUGCGAGUUCUACUGGUAGAAAAACCGCGAUUACAUGCCCGUCAAAGUGGAGCGUUAUAACCAUAUCAAGAAAAGGGGGAAACAAAGUUUGACCACGGUGGAAUGUUUUAUCAACCUGGGGGUUUUCGCCUCAAUUAAACGAACGGAAGUUCCCGUAGAAUCCAUUAAAAUACUAGACUCCAUCAUGGAUUUAUCCUGGGAACCAAAUGGCAACACAUUGGUAGUGCUAAUUGUUGCUGGUUCAGUAAAUUGGCUAAUUUCUAAAGUGGGCGACAAGGCGUCAUUUUGGAAUUAGUCAAAAAAUUAGCGCUGCGGCACAAGGUGGAGAAAAUCACCUGAUCGCCUAUGGGGCAGUUCGUCGUUCUUCACACGGCUUCCAGGAAAGCACAGUCGUAUUCCUGACAGUGUGCUGAUUGACACUGUCUGUAUGUUCUGCAGCGGAAGCGUUGGGUAUUUAUCUUUUGUGAAUGCCGCCGAUUUGUCAGUGUUGGGGAUGUUUCACACUUUCUGCUCUUUGAUGUCCAAUUGAAUCCCACAGGACGCUACCUCACAGCAGUUACGUCCUCUUCGAAUGCCGGAAGUAGCUGAUGCAAGUCCUCUGAACAGUUUCGCAAAGCGUAGAACAACUGCUGAGCAUCUCCCGUCACUUCGUUUGCUUACCCAGUUAAACAUUCAACCUGCCCCAGUGCUCCUUCAAUGCCGUCCUGAUCCCCAUCUGCAGUAUCAUAGAGUCUAUUGGCCCGCCCGACGACAGAAUCCGCAAACACAAAAAAAGCUUCCAUUGUAUCUGCAUCAAACCGAAACCAACAAAUACUUACAUCAAUACCAUGAAAUUUACAAAAAUAAGUUUGGGCUGUGACACAGCCGAACAAUUCAUUAGUCGUUAUAGUGCUGCCGUACAAAGUAUAACGUAAGAAACGUACCGUGUUCGGGAAACUUUGGAUUUUGGGAAGCAGUCGACCGUUAUGGAUCCCACUGUAAGUUACAGCGGUAGAAGUAAAUUUUAGACUAUUGUUCAACACAUGGAACGGUUGCGGAAAGAUACAGCUGUUACUCAACGGCUAGAACCCCAGAACGGGCCAGAAGACGUAAACAUCGAGGACUCCACCAUUCCACGGCCCGGUCAUAAGCACUUGGAGGACUUGAGCCCCUCAGCGGGCACAAGUACAAAAUCAGAAUAAAACAAAAAAGAUACUGCAACUCGAAGAAAUAAACGGGUUUCGUUUUUCAAAUAAAAAGGAACACAUACUUUCUAGUUUCUAUUAACGUCAACAACAACGCAAACUGCCAGAUUUCGUAUGGCGAGCACACCAGUUUAAGGCCAUUUCCAGUAAAUUAUAUGGAAAAUCCCACACAGUAGUUGGAAAUGGAAUGUGGAAAUGGAAUUUGUAAAGUUGGAAAAAAUUCUAAGUCCUGCAUCGGGUUAGAAAAAUCGUAAUCGAUGUUUUUGAAAUCGACAAUUGAUGUUUUCCAAUUCCAGAUUUCCAAAUCGAUGAAGCUGUCGGAUUUGGAAUUCCAUAAGUGGCAACGGGCAAAAUUUGCAUUUAGUGCCAAAUGGCAAAUGCCAAUAAAUUUCUGAACAACACGUAUUUUGGUUAGUUAAGAUUAAUAAUGCAGAAAAUUAAAAAAGUUUAUUAGGGUAAUGGAACUCCAGAUUGUUUAGAGCAAGAUCACCUGGAACAAGAGUUAGGAAAAGUCAGCCUCGGAAGUGCGGAUAUUGGUAACUUCUCGGUAGCUCUGCAGUCUGCAGCUCUUCUUCAAACUCCAGAAUAAAAUG